rnacentral:rRNA from 1 species
AUACGUAGGGGGCGAGCGUUGUCCGGAAUGAUUGGGCGUAAAGGGCGCGUAGGCGGCCCGGUAAGUCUGGAGUGAAAGUCCUGUUUUUAAGAUGGGAAUUGCUUUGGAUACUGUCGGGCUUGAGUGCAGGAGAGGUAAGUGGAAUUCCCAGUGUAGCGGUGAAAUGCGUAGAGAUUGGGAGGAACACCAGUGGCGAAGGCGACUUACUGGACUGUAACUGACGCUGAGGCGCGAAAGUGUGGGGAGCAAACAGGAUUAGAUACCCUGGUAGUCCACACUGUAAACGAUGAAUGCUAGGUGUUGCGGGUAUCGACCCCUGCAGUGCCGGAGUAAACACAAUAAGCAUUCCGCCUGGGGAGUACGGCCGCAAGGUUGAAACUCAAAUGAAUUGACGGG